rnacentral:rRNA from 1 species
AAUCAACGCUGGCGGCGUGCCUCAGACAUGCAAGUCGGAACGCGAAAUUUCCCUUCGGGGAGAAGUAGAGUGGCGCACGGGUGAGUAACACGUAGGUAAUUUGCCUUCGGUGGGAGAAGUAACAGCCGGAAACGGCUGCUAAUACCGCAUAAUGCAGCGGCUCGACAUCGAGACAGUUGUUAAAGCGGGGGAUCGCAAGACCUCGCGCCUGAAGAGAAGCCUGCGGCAGAUUAGC